CAAGUCCUCAAAGCCACUCAGUCAAAGAGGGCACUUUUAGCAAAGAAGGAGCAGAGGAAAGGAAAAGGGCUCAGGUUUAAGUGUCUGGAAUUAUUCCUAUAUGAUUCUUGGCAGCAUAAAUGUGACAAGCUGCAACUCAGAUGACUAGAUGUAAAACCUUGUGCCUUGGAACAACCAGAUAAACACUCCUCGGCCUUUGUUGUAUGCAUCCAAAGGAUUAAUGAUGUGAGUUUGCUGGUGCAGAGAAUCAUCAUAAGGCUUUGCCUGAAGACAUUUUUCAGUGGUGUCUUUGUAGAAGUCACCCCCUCCCCACCCCUCCACCCUCAGCCUAGAAAUGCUGCAUAUAGUGGAACAUUACGUGACCUGGGGAUUUUCAAAUCUGAAGUCUUUCCAGGAACUCAUCUUGAAAUGUGGGCAAGCCAAGGUCAAAAGUAAGACCAGUCCCUCUGGCAGACAACACAGUUAUUGGGGAGCACCUGGGGAGGUUUGGCGUUAUUUGCUUAAAAGACGUCAUUCACGAAAUUGUCUUCCUGGGGAAGUAUUUCCAAGAGAUCUCAUUGUUCUUGCACCCUUUCCACCUCCUUGUGGCCUAUCAUGCUACCAAGAAUAACAUGGUGGGCUUCCUCAAGGGAAUGGGCUCACCUGGCUAUCAGAGUGAAGGCAUGAAUGAGCUCAUCCACAGCUGAACUAG
rnacentral:lncRNA from 1 species